GCAAAAGGAAGUCAUCUGGCUACAAGGAAACAUAUACUGGAUGGUAAAAGGGCAUCCUGCAAUAUGGAAAUUCCCUUCUGCCUCAUACUCUUUUUUUUUUUUUUUGGUUCUUUUUUUCGGAGCUGGGGACCGAACCCAGGGCCUUGCGCUUCCUAGGAAAUGCCACCUGAAACUCUUGCAUUACAUCAGCCAAGGUUUUUGCUGCAAGGUGGGGAAGUGCAAACAGAAUAGACAUGACCAGAGAAUUCAUGAUCGAAGUCAAAGUGGAGGAUAGAAACUGCCAUCAUAGAAACCAUGUGGGGCUGCACAUUCCAAGCAUUUGAAACUGUCCCCAUUCCAAGUUCCAAGGAAACAGACCACAUCCACACUCUCCACCCUAUGUCAACAUGCUCUACCAUAGUCUUCUCAUCUCUUUUGUUUGGUUAUCUUCAAAAGAAAAAGUUGAAUAAAUAUUUGAAGAUAAGCUCAGAAUCAAGAGGACUUUCCCUUUUGUUCUUCUAUAAAUUGAAAGACAUAUAUGUUUAUAAAAAUAAAAGUAAAAAUACCA